rnacentral:rRNA from 1 species
GGCGAACGGGUGAGUAACACGUGGGUAAUCUGCCCUCGGUAUCGGGAUAGCCCGGGGAAACCCGGAUUAAUACCGGAUAGCCUCCGAAGCUCUCGAGCGUCGGAGAAAAGGUGGCUUCGGCUUCCGACUGAGGAUGAGCCCGCGGCGGAUUAGCUUGUUGGUGGGGUAAAGGCCCACCAAGGCGACGAUCCGUAGCUGGUCUGAGAGGACGAUCAGCCACACUGGGACUGAGACACGGCCCAGACUCAUACGGGAGGCAGCAGUGGGGAAUCUUGCGCAAUGGGCGAAAGCCUGACGCAGCGACGCCGCGUGCGGGAAGAAGGCCUUCGGGUUGUAAACCGCUUUCAGGAGGGACGAAGCCACUCGGGUUAAUAGCCCAGAGGGUGACGGUACCUCCAGAAGAAGCCCCGGCUAACUACGUGCCAGCAGCCGCGG